rnacentral:misc_RNA from 1 species
GGCAAAAUUAAACAUAUUUGAUUGCAGGAUUUCUAUAUUUUAGGAAUAUAUUAUAUGAGUGCCAAAGAAGUAAAAUUUUUCCAUUUGUGGAAAUCAGCUCUGCUCAAUGCUGAUUAAAAUAAAACUCCCUAUUAAGGUAAACAAAAUUAGUUAAUAAAACAAAAUAUAGACCUGUAAAAGAUUUGUGCACAUUGCCAUCUCACUACAG